rnacentral:lncRNA from 1 species
GGACAAAAACUGACAAUACAGUUAUAACUCUCAGGAUUUUAUGAAAUGAACACCUUUAUGAUACUUUCAUGUAAAUGCAUUUAAUAAGUAAGUGUGGGACGAAACCCUGACAUGGAGAAUAACCACCUGCUCACUUAAAAUCAUCCCUACUAUUGCCUGCAACCAACUAAAGCCAUACAAAAAAAUCCAUCACCAAACUUUUGGUUUCACUGUCCAAAAUAAGUUUUUCAUUUUGAUCAUUUUUGAUGGAAUGGCCCCGAACCUACAAACCUAGGCUAGAUCUUCUUGUGCUCCAUCGAACUUAAAAUUCUAGGUUUUUAGAAUUAUCAAACACUAAUUAUCUGAACAAACAAUAAUUAGUCAGGACAACAUUCAAGGUGUGAAACAUUUAAUUUGUAAGACCUAAAAAUCCAAGUUUUAUAAAUCAGGAAUUGUUAGUUACUUCAACUAAGGAUUAUUUUUUGGCUUAACUUUUCCUCGAAACAUAAAAACUCGAGUUGGUCUCAAAACCCCAAAAUCUAGUGUAGUAAGUUGCCUUCAAAAUUUGAUGUUUUACAGCUUUUUUUAUUUUUACAGUGUAGGCACAUUAGCUGCAGUAAGUUAGCAGAACAUCUGGCCGAGCAGGGCAGACACACCCCUUGCUGCAACUCUGCACUAUGGAAGCCUGUUAAUGUCAAACAGUGCCAACAGCAGGUUUGUUGAGCAAGUUGGCUCCUGGCAGAGCUAAAAAAAAAAAAAAAAAAAAAAAACAUGAUUUAAAAAUAUAAUUUUGGACUUUUCAAGUUGGUUCAGAAUUGUUGGAAAAAAGAAUUGGGAUUUUGACACUAUUCAGUUUUUCCUGCAACCCAUAUACUGACCUCUAAAUCAGUCUUAAGGGCACAUUAUCAGUGGGUAUAUGUAAAUAGAUUGGGUCUGAUUGGCAGUGUGGUGACUGACAUACAAGACUGCGCCGUCAUGGUGAACGUAUGUAUGUUUAAAAAGUAAAUGUAGCAGCAACAUUAAGUACUUUGAAUGGUAAGACUAAAAAAGGAAAUAUAAGUGCAGUCCAUUUAUCAUUCAGGACCACAAUAAGAGACAGAAGCAGAAAUGGAGGCUCUGUUUCCAAGCAACAGGAAACACCAUGAGCAGGUUUAAUCCAACAUCUCCUUUCACAUUAAAGGCUUUUGACUGGCAAAAAGAUGGUGCAGCUUUUAGGAGCACAAAGUUUUUGAGGCUGAGGUUGGCAUUCACAAAAAAAAAAAAACAUGUUCAAUUUUUGGCAUCAUCAGUCAGUUUUUAAUAAAAAAGGAGCCGCCAUCGGGACAUGAUGGUUCACACUUGGUCGGCUGUACACCUCCAAAUCCUUGAACUGUUCCCUGCUGUUGUGUGGAAAACUACCCUUACUCUGCACAGCAUGAAAGCAUAUUUUGAUUGCUAAUGGCGUGGUUCAAAAUAAGCAGUAAUUGAAAUUAACCAGAACAGCCUGUGGUGUAGUGCAAUACAACAAAAGCUCUGCUGGUGCUUUAUUUGAAUAUCUGACAGAGUAGCCGCUCAGGGGGUGUAUUUCUAACCUUUAAUUCUGAAUGUUUGAGGGGGAAAAACACCUUAUUUUUACUACCAGCAACCAAAGGGGUCACUAAAUCAACCUGGACUGGAAAGCUUUUUCUAGUAUAUUGGGUUAUGAUGAAAAAAAAUUGUGUUUGUCAAUAUUUUUCGAAAACAAUCCACACACCGACAGCUAUUUUCUGCUAGAUUUACACUGCUUUUGUAUCUUUCGUAUCAACACCUGCGCUUAAAGAUUAUUUUCGGCGAUAUGCUGUCAUAAAUAAUAACUGGAGCGAUAAAAGCUUCCACUAGAGAUGAAGUGUGCCUCAGACUAUUUUCAAACUGAGGUCUUUUCCAUUUCCUUGCGUCUCUCCUCACUUGUCUUUCUUUGCUGCUUGUCUCCAUGAUUGCAGAGCUGAAGCCAUUAAAUAGAUGGAUGUUCAAAGAGACAAUAUCAAAACCUCCUGUUCAUGUGGUAAAUGUUGUUUAUUUGUUUGUUUGUUUUUUUACUUUCAUAAAAUGUGCAUGCAAAAUAAAAAAGCAAGAAACCACCUUUUUGACUUCACACAAAUGGUGCUGUCACACUCUCCUGAAGGGAAAAAAAAACACACAACAGGACGUUAUUCUCCCAAUGUGAAAUGUGCACUAAUUACCCAGACAGCCAGUGCUAUUGGCAGUGAGGAAACAGUCGAGGGAAUUUAACUAAAAACAAAGCAAAUCUGCUUCUCCUCCAGCUCCCCUGCCAAUCCCUCUCUAACAUCCCUAGUCCUGCUCAACAGAGCGGAGCGGCACAACAAGAGCUUUCUGUGUGUUUUAAAGCCAUCUGGCUCUGAUCUCUGUUUCAGCCGUCAGGGGCAUCAUCACCAUCAUGGCAGUCAAUACCAUCAGCAUCAGAAUCAUCAUCAUUAGCAUCAUCAUCAUCAGUUUUGGUAGCUGUUUUGUUUUAGUUGGUUUGUUUCAGUAAUAUUUCUGACAAAAUUGUCAUAAAUGAUAUAUCAGCAGCAGCGAUUUUCACUGGCUGCAGCCUGUUAAAGCUUUCUGAUUCCUGUUUCUGAUUUUGGUUUUCAUAUCAUGCAAAACUGAGAUUAUGCAGGGAAAUUUUGAUCUUUGAAAACUCAGAGGGACUAAAGGAUGUCAUGCAAUCACUUUAAAGACAACAUAAGUGGUGAACUUAACCAAGUGUAAAAUUUAGCUAGCUCAUGGGUAAAACUCUGAGUUGUCUGAUCUGUAUAAAUUAUUUCUAGUUGACUUUCCAACACAGAAAUUGGCAUAAAACAUUUUUAAGCAAGUCCAAGUCAAGCGUUAAGUCCCCAAAUGCAGCGGCAAGUCUCAGUCAAGUGUCUCAUCAACAAUAAAAAAAAACAUAAAAUUGUGUUAUCUAUAGACACCAAGAGACCAUAACUUAUAGAUUUGUCAUAAAAUAACACAACAUAGCAGCAACAUAUGAGCAACGUUUUCCUGGAUUAAGUCUUUGUAAACCUAAAUAAAGAUAGACUAUUUGUCAAAAGUCAGAAUUCAACGAACCGACAGAAAAUGUGGUACACUCAGUUUCAAAAGAAGCUGCACAAAGUCCAUUAAAUCACAACAAACACCAAAAUCAGCUGAUUGCAACAUGAGUCCCUCUUUGAUUAGGCAAAUCAUAGCGUUUAACGCCCCGUCGUUCCCCGACUGGCACAGGUCCCUCUCUCUUGGCCUGGGAGUGCGCACAGAGCGCACUCAUUCCCCCUGGAGCCACGCUCCGUCAAAAUGUUUAACUGUUUUCCCGCACCUGUGUCCCACAGUUCUGCACUCCAAUCAACCGUUUCCCUUUUUAUCUGGAAUUAUUUCUCCCCGCUUUAGGCUUUUGAGGGUCCACACUCCACAACUACACGCCAUACAAACACAGACACAACCACUUAUCUGCUGCCAUCUUCCAAGCCAAACCGGGGCACUUACUGUUCCCUCAGUAAACAGUGCAAAGUGGCAUGCUUUCGGGGGUCAUGUGACCACCAGUCCCCUCCAUUAUAGUUUAUUUGUGGCAUUUUGGCCUGAUUUAAUGUGUUGUCAUUGAUUAAGGUCAUAGAUGUAUGGAGGGCUCUCAGUGCUCUUUUGCUCAUGUUAAAAUGUCUCAUUUAUUGAUGAAUUUUGCGCUCUAUUUAGCUUGUUGUGCCUGUAACUCCUCUAAUCGGUUUACGAAUUUGCCCAGGGGAGGGGCUGAGGGGUAUUUAAAGAGCGCUUCGCUUACUCUGAGGGGAGCUCUUCGUAUACAAGUGUACAAGUGUAAGUUCUACUGAGAUUCUGCUGUGUUUAUUUUGUUUAUUUGACUAUUUUUUGUUGUUAUCCUGCACUGUAAAUAUUUUAGUGUGAAUAAAAACCCACCACACUAGAGUUUCGACUGCACCAUCAUUUUUUGUCCAGAAUGAACCCGUGACAGAUGUGUAACAAAAUUUAAAUCUGCCCCUGACACCUGCGUCUCUUCUCUUUUAGCAAUGGCCUUCCUCCUUCAUAUGGUUUCUUUAAGUGUGUCUGUAUCUGAUCCUCAGGCAAAACCCA